AGGAUGAAGUUUAACACAGGAAUGAGGAGUAGAGCACAUAGCUGCUAAGAUAAGGCUGGAGUCUCAGCUCAUUGCAACCUCUGCCUGCCAGGUUCAAGUGAUUCUCCUGCCUCAGCUUCCCAAGUAGCUGGGACUACAGCCUCUGACACUAAGACGGACACCGCCACAACUACCCGCAAACAGUGAGGCCAGCCUUUCGCUACUACAUCAAUUUCGUUACUUAGGUAUGCCACUGG